AUGGCUGUCCGGCGGUUCUGGAAAAUGGUGGCUUGGAACAGGGACGACGACGGUUCCCCGAGGUUGCCUCGCCGAUCUCUUCUUUGCCGGAGACGGCGGCUAGAGAGGAUACGAGAGAGACGAAGAGAUGGAGAGGCAGAGACGAGGGGAGAAGAGCAUCAGAAUCAAUUCUAUGGGAGAAGUACAGCACAUGAUCCUGCUCGAUUUGGGUCAUCUGGUUCACCUCCGUCUGAUGGGUUCAGGGAGAAUGGUCUUUUGAGUCCAGAGCAGGUUUAUUUCAAACCCUAUCGAAGUCUUGCAAACGAGCCUUUUCGGGUUCUGUAUCGCCCAAAACGCGAUUACCUUUAACAUCAUUGCCCGUUAAUACUGUUAAGCGGCCUUACUCUGAAGAUCAAAGGAAAUCCAGAAAACCAUCCAGAAACAGCAUGAUUUCGAUACCAUUUAACCUUAAAGUGGAUGUUGGUUCUAGGAAUGAGAAUUCCUUGAAUGAUGAGUUUUCAUUUUCUGAACUAUGGGCAGGGCCAGCUUAUUCGAAUUCUCCUCCCCCUAGUUCUUUGCCCAUGCCCAAAUUUUCCCUUCGGACUAAAAGGAAUGCUUCUCUUGAAUUUCCUACUUCAGCAUCUGAUAUUGAUUUACGUCCCAUUGCCAAGUCUCCAACCAGGGAGCGCAGCCUUUCUCCGGGAGUUGUAUAUGACGGCACUGACUCGGUGAUACAAACUCUUCGUCUCAUGCUCAACCUUGAAAUUAAGGAUGGAUGAAUGUGUGGUGGGAGGUCUGGAUAGCAGCUAAAUAGGUGAUUAUGUAGUUUUCGUAUUGGGUAAUAGUAGAUAGUUCAUAUGGUGAAUAAAUCAGUUUUUAGUUCGAAAGUUAUUGUUUCAGUUAGUGUUUCUCGUGGUAGAUCAGUAGUGGAAUUUCAACACCUGUCAAGAGUGGUUGUUUUAAGGGAAAUUUUAUAUGAGCCAUGGCUGGUUGAUCAACUCUCUCCAGUAUAUUCAAAGUUCAUGCAUUUAUGUGCAGACAUGGUUAGACUAUGAGGGGUUCAACAAAUGGAGUAUGCUUGUACUAGUGCAUUGAUCAGUGGAAGAAGAAACUGGGUGUUGAUUUGAGAUGCUCCUAUUGCAGUAAUCAAUAGAGAUAACUUGGAGUUCUUUGUAGGGGUUGCGUAACUUGUUGUUCAACUAUCUAUAAUGCCCUGGAUAUCAAUUCAUUAUAACCAUCAAUUCUCAUUCUUGAUUCCAGUUGUCAUAGGAUUGUUCCUUCUUAUUGCCUUUUCAUGUCCCUUUAGAUAUUCUGUUUGUCAGAGAUAUUAUAUAUAUCUUAGACCCUACCAGAUUAGUUAGCAUCCCUUUAUACUUCUGUUUUAUUCAGUUACUAGACUCUUAGCCUUUUCAUCCAUUCUUGCAUCCUAACCUUCUCUAUCUCUUGGUAGAUUCAAAUUCAUGACUAGAUAAUAGGACAUUUGAUAUAUCUACAACAACAACAACCCAGUGAAAUCCCACAUCGUGGGGUCUGGGGAGGGUAGAGUGUACGCAGACCUGACUCCUACCAAUGUAGGACGGCUGUUUCCGAAAGACCCUCGGCUCAAUAAAAGCAUAGAAAAAGGUUAGACAAGAAUAUUAGAAUAAAUAAGUAGAUGACGAAAACGGUCCAAACAAUAUUAUAAUCAAAGCACAAAAACAGUAGAUAUUAUUAUUGGAUAAUACCAUAAAUAGCAUACAUCAGAGUACAAGAAAUCAUAGUGUGUUAAUACGCCUACGAAUAAGGGAGAAUAAAAUCAUUAUGUACUAGCCUUCUACCCUAAUGUGUGUCCUCCACACCCUCCUAUCUAGGGUCAUGUCCUCGGUAAGUCGUAAAUGCGCCAUGUCCUGUCUGAUCACCUCUCCCCAAUAUUUCUUCGGCCUACCCCUACCUCUUCUGAAACAAUCCAUGGCCAGCCUCUCACAUCUCCGCACUGGUGCAUCUGGGACUCUCCUCUUCACAUGUCCAAACCAUCUCAGUCGCGUUUCCCGCAUCUUGUCUUCCACCGAGGCCACUCCUACCUUUUCUCGAAUAGCCUCAUUUCUAAUCUUGUCACUCCUGGUAUGCCCACACAUCCAUCUCAACAUUCUCAUCUCGGCAACCUUCAUCCUUUGCACGUGGGAGACCUUAACUGGCCAACACUCCGCCCCAUACAACAUAGCUGGUCUAACGACCACUUUGUAGAACUUGCCCUUAAGUUGUGGUGGCACCUUCUUGUCACAUAACACACCGGAGGCGAGCCUCCAUUUCAUCCUUCCUGCCCCAAUACGGUGUGUGACAUCCUCGUCGAUCUCUCCGCUGUCUUGCAUGAUAGAACCAAGAUAUGGACAUUUGAUAUAUCUAAGUCUUGCUAUUCCUUGAAUGCUUGAAUGGGCUGGUCAUCAUCAUACCUUUAUAUGUAUUCUUGUCAGUUUUUCUUCUCUACUCUGAAUAGGAUAUAUCAUCUACUUCUUCCUCUUGAAGUUGUUUCACCAAUUUUCUGUUUUUUGGGAAUGAAAAUUGGGUAGGGGAAUUAAUAGUUACUUGUAUCCUUUUCUGUUCCUGGUCUUUGGUAUCUUCCCUUUUAAGUUUCUUCUUGCUAGUCCAAUUAUGCCGGUUACGUGGUUUAUUCCUUCUCAAAAAAAAAGUUCCAUCUUGCCUAUGAAGAUUCUUGAUCACUAGCUAUUGAUAAGGGCUUUUAGUUGGAGCUGUGGGAAGAAGAUUGUUGAGCGGUUGUUCUCCCUACUCUCGCCAUGGUAGCACUACUUGUUAUGUGAUUUCAGUGUCUUUAUAAGAUAGAUGUUGUCUGUCGGUCCUUCGAUCAAACUGGUAGUUACUACUGCAACAAUUAUCUAGUUAUUUCAUGUUUUAGGUUUGGAGUUUUACUUCUGUUGUUGAACUAGGUACACACUACACCACCUUGUUUUUAAGGUAGCAUUUUGAUUAUGAGUUUAAUUGUGUUUCUCUGCUUCUGUUGUUUGUCUCGAAGUCUAUGUUGUUUUUGGUAUCAUUUUUUAAAAUCAUUUACUGCUUCUUGUCUCGAA